CUCAGAACGAACGCUGGCGGCGUGGCUAAGACAUGCAAGUCGAACGGACUUGUCUGGAUGAGUAAUCUGAAAGACAGUUAGUGGCGAAAGGGUUAGUAAUGGAUAGGUAACGUACCCCGAGCUCCGGGAUAGCCAUUCGAAAGGGUGGGUAAUACCGGAUAAUACCAUGUGCCCCAAGGUAUAUGGUCAAAGAUUUAUCGGCACGGGAGCGGCCUGUCUCCCAUCAGUUUGUUGGUGAGGUAACGGCUCACCAAGGCAGCGACGGGUAGCGGGACUGAGAGGUUGACCCGCAACAUCGGGACUGAGACACUGCCCGGACCUCCACGGAGGGCUGCAGUAACGAAUAUUGCGCAAUGGGCGAAAGCCUGACGCAGCGACGCCGCGUGUAGGAUGAAGUCCCUCGGGAUGUAAACUACUGUCAGGGGUUAGAAAGUCCGGUUCGCCGGAUUGAUCGGCCCCAGAGGAAGUCACGGCUAACUUCGUGCCAGCAGCCGCGGUAAUACGAAGGUGGCUAGCGUUGUUCGGUGUCACUGGGCUUAAAGCGUGUGUAGGCGGAAAAGAAAGCGUUUUGUGAAAGCCCCCGGCUUAACCGGGGAACUGCAAGACGAACUGCUUUUCUUGAGGCAAGCAGGGGUGCGUGGAACUCUUGGUGGAGCGGUGGAAUGCGUAGAUAUCAAGAGGAACGCCGGUGGUGAAGACGACGCACUGGGCUUGUCCUGACGCUGAGACACGAAAGCGUGGGGAGCGAACGGGAUUAGAUACCCCGGUAGUCCACGCCGUAAACGAUGUCUACUAGGUUGUGGGAGU
rnacentral:rRNA from 1 species